UACGUAGGGGGCAAGCGUUGUCCGGAAUCAUUGGGCGUAAAGCGCGUGUAGGCGGCCCGAUAAGUCCGCUGUGAAAGUCCAGGGCUCAACCCUGGGAUGCCGGUGGAUACUGUCGGGCUCGAGUCCGGAAGAGGCGAGUGGAAUUCCUGGUGUAGCGGUGGAAUGCGCAGAUAUCAGGAGGAACACCAAUAGCGAAGGCAGCUCGCUGGGACGGUAUUGACGCUAAGGCGCGAAAGCGUGGGGAGCAAACAGG
rnacentral:rRNA from 1 species